AUCUCACAAUGGGGACAUCUAAUAAAAUUGGAACAAUAAAGAGAAGAUUAGCAUAGUCCUUGCACAAGGAUGACACACACAAAUCAAGAAAUGGUAUCAGAGCCAU